CCUGCCCUUUAGUUGGGGACAACAUCCCGAAAGGGGUGCUAAUACCGAAUGUGAUCACUUUCUCGCAUGAGGGAGUGAUGAAAGAUGGCCUCUAUUUAUAAGCUAUCGCUAAAGGAUGGGCCUGCGUCUGAUUAGCUAGUUGGUGGGGUAACGGCCUACCAAGGCGACGAUCAGUAGCCGGUCUGAGAGGAUGAACGGCCACAUUGGGACUGAGACACGGCCCAGACUCCUACGGGAGGCAGCAGUGGGGAAUCUUCCGCAAUGGGCGAAAGCCUGACGGAGCAAUGCCGCGUGAGUGAUGAAGGAAUUCGUUCCGUAAAGCUCUUUUGUUUAUGACGAAUGUGCAGACUGUGAAUAAUGGUUUGUAAUGACGGUAGUAAACGAAUAAGCCACGGCUAACUACGUGCCAGCAGCCGCGGUAAUACGUAGGUGGCAAGCGUUGUCCGGAAUUAUUGGGCGUAAAGAGCAUGUAGGCGGACUUUUAAGUCUGGCGUGAAAAUGCGGGGCUCAACCCCGUAUGGCGUUGGAUACUGGAAGCCUUGAGUGCAGGAGAGGAAAGGGGAAUUCCCAGUGUAGCGGUGAAAUGCGUAGAUAUUGGGAGGAACACCAGUGGCGAAAGGCGCCUUUCUGGACUGUGUCUGACGCUGAAAUGCGAAAGCUAGGGUAGGCAACGGGAUUAAAUACCCCGGUAGUCCUAGCUGUAAACGAUGGGUACUA
rnacentral:rRNA from 1 species